rnacentral:misc_RNA from 1 species
GUGAAUCAUCAAAUCUUUGAACGCAAAUUGCACUCUCCUCGAAGAGUGUGACUAUUUCAGUGUCAGCCUAUGAAAAAUCGAAAUCGUUGCUGUUUCCCGCUUUCGUUCGUCACGAAUUGGGUCAUCUUAAAUCCUCUUUCUUUAAGCUACUCAAAAUUUUCUCUUGGUUCCUUCAACGUUUCUAAGAUCUAUUUCUUUACACGUUUAAGGUAUCGUUUUUUACUAGACGUUACCAUCAUAUCGGAUCGCGUCCA